GAUGAACGCUGGCGGCGUGCCUAAUACAUGCAAGUCGAGCGAACAGACGAGGAGCUUGCUCCUCUGACGUUAGCGGCGGACGGGUGAGUAACACGUGGAUAACCUACCUAUAAGACUGGGAUAACUUCGGGAAACCGGAGCUAAUACCGGAUAAUAUAUUGAACCGCAUGGUUCAAUAGUGAAAGACGGUUUUGCUGUCACUUAUAGAUGGAUCCGCGCCGCAUUAGCUAGUUGGUAAGGUAACGGCUUGCCAAGGCAACGAUGCGUAGCCGACCUGAGAGGGUGAUCGGCCACACUGGAACUGAGACACGGUCCAGACUCCUACGGGAGGCAGCAGUAGGGAAUCUUCCGCAAUGGGCGAAAGCCUGACGGAGCAACGCCGCGUGAGUGAUGAAGGUCUUCGGAUCGUAAAACUCUGUUAUUAGGGAAGAACAAAUGUGUAAGUAACUAUGCACGUCUUGACGGUACCUAAUCAGAAAGCCACGGCUAACUACGUG
rnacentral:rRNA from 1 species